rnacentral:rRNA from 1 species
GAGUUUGAUCGUGGCUCAGAUUGAACGCUGGCGGAAUGCUUUACACAUGCAAGUCGAACGGCAGCACGGGGGCAACCCUGGUGGCGAGUGGCGAACGGGUGAGUAAUACAUCGGAACGUGCCCAGUCGUGGGGGAUAACGUAGCGAAAGCUACGCUAAUACCGCAUACGAUCUCUGGAUGAAAGCGGGGGACCGCAAGGCCUCGCGCGAUUGGAGCGGCCGAUGGCAGAUUAGGUAGUUGGUGGGGUAAAGGCUCACCAAGCCGACGAUCUGUAGCUGGUCUGAGAGGACGACCAGCCACACUGGGACUGAGACACGGCCCAGACUCCUACGGGAGGCAGCAGUGGGGAAUUUUGGACAAUGGGCGCAAGCCUGAUCCAGCCAUUCCGCGUGCAGGAUGAAGGCCCUCGGGUUGUAAACUGCUUUUGUACGGAACGAAAAGGCUUUCUCUAAUACAGAGAGCUCAUGACCCGGU